rnacentral:rRNA from 1 species
GCGGACGGGUGAGUAACGCGUGGGAACGUGCCCUUUGGUACGGAACAACUGAGGGAAACUUCAGCUAAUACCGUAUGUGCCCUAUGGGGGAAAGAUUUAUCGCCAUUGGAGCGGCCCGCGUUAGAUUAGCUAGUUGGUAGGGUAAUGGCCUACCAAGGCGACGAUCUAUAGCUGGUCUGAGAGGAUGAUCAGCCACACUGGGACUGAGACACGGCCCAGACUCCUACGGGAGGCAGCAGUGGGGAAUCUUGCGCAAUGGGCGAAAGCCUGACGCAGCCAUGCCGCGUGAAUGAUGAAGGUCUUAGGAUUGUAAAAUUCUUUCACCGGGGACGAUAAUGACGGUACCCGGAGAAGAAGCCCCGGCUAACUUCGUGCCAGCAGCCGCGGUAAUACGAAGGGGGCUAGCGUUGCUCGGAAUUACUGGGCGUAAAGGGCGCGUAGGCGGACAGUUUAGUCAGAGGUGAAAGCCCAGGGCUCAACCUUGGAAUUGCCUUUGAUACUGGCUGUCUUGAGUACGGGAGAGGUGAGUGGAACUCCGAGUGUAGAGGUGAAAUUCGUAGAUAUUCGGAAGAACACCAGUGGCGAAGGCGACUCACUGGCCCGUUACUGACGCUGAGGCGCGAAAGCGUGGGGAGCAAACAGGAUUGGAUACCCUGGUAGUCCACGCCGUAAACGAUGAGUGCUAGUGGUCGGCAUUCAUGCACUCGGUAAUCCAGCUAAGGCAGCGAAUCACAGGUCAAGCAGACUGA